AGAGUUUGAUUCUGGCUCAGGAUGAACGCUGGCGGCGUGCUUAACACAUGCAAGUCGAACGAAGCAGCUUCUGCUGCAAGAAAGCUGACUUAGUGGCGGACGGGUGAGUAACGCGUGGGUAACCUGCCUCAUACAGGGGGAUAACAGUUGGAAACGACUGCUAAGACCGCAUAACCCGCUAGUGUCGCAUGACACGGACGGAAAAUAUUUAUAGGUAUGAGAUGGGCCCGCGUCUGAUUAGCUAGUUGGUAAGGUAACGGCUUACCAAGGCGACGAUCAGUAGCCGACUUGAGAGAGUGAUCGGCCACAUUGGGACUGAGACACGGCCCAAACUCCUACGGGAGGCAGCAGUGGGGAAUAUUGGACAAUGGGGGAAACCCUGAUCCAGCGAACCGCCGCGUGAGUGAAGAAGUAUUUCGGUAUGUAAAGCUCUAUCAGCAGGGAAGAUAAUGACAGUACCUGACUAAGAAGCCCCGGCUAACUACGUGCCAGCAGCCGC
rnacentral:rRNA from 1 species